AGGCCCGGAGAGAGAGGCAGGAUCUGAUCAGCAGCCUCCGUGGCAGCUGUUGAUCAGCUGUUGCCUCUCUCUCUCUGGGCU
rfam:Myotis lucifugus cont2.10526, whole genome shotgun sequence.